GGUAGUGUGACAGAGUGGUCUAAGGUGCUGGAUUUAGGCUCCAGUCUCAAAAGAGGCGUGGAUUCAAAUCCCACCACUGCCA
rnacentral:tRNA from 1 species